rnacentral:rRNA from 1 species
ACGCUGGCGGCGUGCCUAAUACAUGCAAGUAGAACGCUGAAGAGAGGAGCUUGCUCUUCUUGGAUGAGUUGCGAACGGGUGAGUAACGCGUAGGUAACCUGCCUUGUAGCGGGGGAUAACUAUUGGAAACGAUAGCUAAUACCGCAUAACAAUGGAUGACUCAUGUCAUUUAUUUGAAAGGGGCAAAUGCUCCACUACAAGAUGGACCUGCGUUGUAUUAGCUAGUAGGUGAGGUAACGGCUCACCUAGGCGACGAUACAUAGCCGACCUGAGAGGGUGAUCGGCCACACUGGGACUGAGACACGGCCCAGACUCCUACGGGAGGCAGCAGUGGGGAAUCUUCGGCAAUGGGGGCAACCCUGACCGAGCAACGCCGCGUGAGUGAAGAAGGUUUUCGGAUCGUAAAGCUCUGUUGUAAGUCAAGAACGAGUGUGAGAGUGGAAAGUUCACACUGUGACGGUAGCUUACCAGAAAGGGACGGCUAACUACGUGCCAGCAGCCGCGGUAAUACGUAGGUCCCGAGCGUUGUCCGGAUUUAUUGGGCGUAAAGCGAGCGCAGGCGGUUUGAUAAGUCUGAAGUUAAAGGCUGUGGCUCAACCAUAGUUCGCUUUGGAAACUGUCAAACUUGAGUGCAGAAGGGGAGAGUGGAAUUCCAUGUGUAGCGGUGAAAUGCGUAGAUAUAUGGAGGAACACCGGUGGCGAAAGCGGCUCUCUGGUCUGUAACUGACGCUGAGGCUCGAAAGCGUGGGGAGCGAACAGGAUUAGAUACCCUGGUAGUCCACGCCGUAAACGAUGAGUGCUAGGUGUUGGAUCCUUUCCGGGAUUCAGUGCCGCAGCUAACGCAUUAAGCACUCCGCCUGGGGAGUACGACCGCAAGGUUGAAACUCAAAGGAAUUGACGGGGGCCCGCACAAGCGGUGG